CGUGGAUAACCUGCCUUGCACUGGGGGAUAACACUUAGAAAUAGGUGCUAAUACCGCAUAAGCGCACAGCUUCGCAUGAAGCAGUGUGGAAAACAAAAAGCUAAAGCUUUUGGUGGUAUACGAUGGAUCCGCGUCUGAUUAGCUAGUUGGCGGGGUAAAGGCCCACCAAGGCGACGAUCAGUAGCCGGCCUGAGAGGGUGAACGGCCACAUUGGGACUGAGACACGGCCCAAACUCCUACGGGAGGCAGCAG
rnacentral:rRNA from 1 species